CGCCAUUCGCCCUUCGGGGUGCCCAGGCGCGAAAACUCCACAAUGUACGACAGUACGAUGGGGUUAUCUCGAGUGCAGUCCGAUAAGGGCUGCUUUUCCAUAGAGUAAUAUCCUGUGGGAAUAAGAGGGGGGCAAGACUGGUGUCAGCCGCCGCGGUAACACCAGCCCCUCGAGUGGUGGGGACUAUUAUUUGGUCUAAAGCGUCCGUAGCUGGCUGUAUCCGUCCCCCGUUAAAUCCAGCGUCCUAAGCGUUGGACUGCGGGUGAUACCAUACAGCUAGAGGGUGGGAUAGGUGAGCGGUAUUUCUGGGGUAGGGGCGAAAUCCUUUGAUCCCAGGAGGACCACCAGUGGCGAAGGCUGCUCACUAGAACACGCCUGACGGUCAGGGACGAAAGCUGGGGCAGCGAACCGGAUUAGAUACCCGGGUAGUCCCAGCUGUAAACGAUGCCAGCUANGGUGUUGGGUCGGCCACGCGCCGCCCCAGUGCCGCAGGGAAGCCGUUAAGCUGGCCACCUGGGGAGUACGGCCGCAAGGCUGAAACUUAAAGGAAUUGGCGGGGGAGCAC
rnacentral:rRNA from 1 species